UACGUAGGGCGCAAGCGUUAUCCGGAAUUAUUGGGCGUAAAGAGCUCGUAGGCGGUUUGUUGCGUCUGCCGUGAAAGCCCGGGGCUCAACUCCGGAUCUGCGGUGGGUACGGGCAGACUUGAGUGAUGUAGGGGAGACUGGAAUUCCUGGUGUAGCGGUGAAAUGCGCAGAUAUCAGGAGGAACACCGGUGGCGAAGGCAGGUCUCUGGGCAUUAACUGACGCUGAGGCGCGAAAGCAUGGGGAGCGAACAGG
rnacentral:rRNA from 1 species